rnacentral:lncRNA from 1 species
GUCAGAAUUACGUGUAUCCUAUACCCCGUGCCGCGACCUGAGGUGGAGCGCUUGAAGUGAAGCCUGUUGGUGUUGCUGAUGUCCGACGGCAGCACCGGGAAACCUGCUUGCACACCCCUGCUCUCACAGCUGCACGUCUGCCCAAUGAGAAGUAAACAGUGCCCCCCCGAAAGGCGUUCUUUUCAAAAGUAUGACCAAUUUACAAGCAGGUGUUACCACCUUCAAAAGUUAUUGGAGAAUGGAAACAGAAGAUUUGAUUUGAACUUAAAUAACUGGUUUAUCAGGUGAAAAAAACCCUUUGUUUUGUACCUCCUCCUAUACCAAGCUGCCUACUUACCAAAGAAGCUCCAGCCUUUUUAUCAUAUUUUAUGAUAUGGACCUCACUGUAAAACGGGGUUCUAAAAUUAGAAGCAAGUUUGCUAAAUAGUAAAUAUACAGUAGAGGAAAAUAACUGAAAACUGUUCUUUAAUUUGCAGUAGAAAGUGUUUUCUAAGAUGUAAUUUACCACUAGUUACUUUUCAACAAUGUUGUAUUUGGGAUAAAAAUCUUAAUUUAGAUGCAAAUACUGAAUUUAGUGCAAGAAAUUAUCAAUGACAGGGUUUUACGCAAAUGUAGAUGCAGACAGACCCCUCAUUCAGUCAUGUUUCAGCUGUAAUCAAACAUAUAUGCUAUUGGAUUGGACAGAUAACUUGUCAAUCACACUGUACACAGAAAUAAAGAAGGUCUUUUAUGAUUAUAUGUCUAUGAU